rnacentral:rRNA from 1 species
UACGUAGGGUGCAAGCGUUAAUCGGAAUUACUGGGCGUAAAGCGUGCGUAGGCGGUCAGUCGCGUCUGCUGUGAAAACUCGGGGCUUAACUCCGGGCCUGCAGUGGGUACGGGCUGACUAGAGUGCGGUAGGGGAGACUGGAAUUCCUGGUGUAGCGGUGAAAUGCGCAGAUAUCGGGAGGAACACCGGUGGCGAAGGCGGGUCUCUGGGCCGUAACUGACGCUGAGGAGCGAAAGCGUGGGGAGCGAACAGG